UCAAUGCUGAAAAAAAGAAAAGUCUUGUGUGAAGCAAGUCAAAGUUUGGACAGAUGAUAGUUCUCUUGCUCUACAAGGGUGCUUUGACUGUACCGAUUGGUCCGUCUUCCAGGAGAGCUCUUCUGAUCUGGAUGAACUGACUGAUGUGGUGUGCAGUUAUAUUUCGUUUUGUAAAGACUCUGUGAUUCCUUCUAGAGUUAUUAAGAUAUUCCCGAACAAUAAACCAUGGCUUUCCAAGGACAUUAAGGACAUGAUUCUGAAGAGGAAAAAAGCUUUCAGAGAGGGGGACUUACUUGCUGAAAGGGAAUGGAAA